AAUGUAGGUUGGAUAGUCGCAAUUGNAAAAUUGAGGAAAGUCCGGACUCCACAGAGCAUAGAGCUGGAUAACAUCCAGGCAGAGUAAUCUGACGGAAAGUGCAACAGAAAAUAGACCGCCUAGAAAUAGGUAAGGGUGAAAAGGUAGUGUAAGAGACUAUCAGUAUUAAAAGUGAUUUUAAUAGCUUGUAAACCCCUCUUGGAGCAAGGCCGAGAAGUGAUUGUUAGCUCGACGUUAAUCACGGGUAGGCUGCAUAAGGUAUUUGGUAACAAGUAUCUCAGAUAGAUGACUAUCGCAUAUUUAUGCACAGAAUCCGGCUUAUAGAUCUACAAAUUAU
rnacentral:RNase_P_RNA from 1 species